AGUCUCUAUAUAAAAAAAAAUCCAUCUGAGAAAAAUGGGGUCGAUCAGGUAAAAUUGUUAGAAUAACUUCCGCUCUCCUCGCCAAUUGCUAAGAAAACUCAGAACCCCCUGCCUCCUAUAUAAUGACCCAGGCAAUUUUAGCUCCACGAGACAUGUGCUGGGGAAAGUAGAAAAUGUUCAAGGAGACCUUUUGAUAAUAUAUUUUUUCUCUCAAAAAGUUUGAACAAGUUCAGAUGCCACGCUGUCGGAGAUGGUCUUCAAGUAAUGACGGCUGCGGUGUUGGUGGGCGACUGACUAGGAGUUUCACCAACUCUGGGGUAUUGUUUCAUGGAAGUUUUGCACAUGGAAAAGCCAUCAAUUAAACCUUUUUUCCCACCAUUAGAAUUAGAUAUGGAAUGGAGCAGAGGAGUCUAGAGUGGUGACUGUUCCUCACUAACGCCUGGCCGGCCGGAGGAAAGGAGAAACCCCCAUGUGCAACUGUUUAAAAGAAGAGAGCGCUCUCCAUCUUCCUUUGUCAGAGGCCCUACUGACAGUGGGACACAUCUGUUGCAUAGAAAUAGAGACUGCUGACUAAAAACAUAGGCAGUCAGAGGGGCUGCCAGCUUAAAAAGAGAACGUAAUGGUAGAGUAGGAUGUCGAAAACAUUAACCUCACUCUCCAACAGGAACAAGAUAAGAAGCUUGAAUCUCCAAAGUCUCUCCUUUACCCCUCAGUGCACGGCAUACUGUACCUUAUCUAUCAAGCGUGUAUCUGUCUGGGACUGUGUCUGUCUGUGUGUAUGCACAUAGUGUCUGUUUCUGUGCAUAGGUGUGUGUGUGUGUGUGUGUGUGUGUGUGUGUGUGUGUGUGUGUGUGUGUGUGUGUGUGUGUGUGUGUGUGUGUGUGUGUGUGUGUGUGUGUGUGUGUGUGCACGCACAUGUGCGUGUGUGUGCAUGUGUGUGUAUGUGUGUGUGUGUCCGUGCAUAGGUGUGUGCGUGUGUGUGCGUGCAUGUGUGUGUGUGUGUGUGUGUAGCUCAUGUAUGUUUGAGCAACCAUAGCUACCACGUCUACAGUACUGUUUCUCUUCUGUCUCCUUGCCAUUUGAUCUGGGAGCAGAGAACCUUUCCUUUGUGUUCCUUGUUGUGUUUGUCCACUUGAGUGAAAAAGGAAUUUUUAGGGGCUCAUUUCUCCUCUCAGUUUACCCUGCAACGGCUGCUUGGUGAUGCUUUUAUGAUUAAUAAGGCCAAAUUAAAACCAGAGAAGGCAGAGAAUAGAGAGAGGGGAGCUACAGUGGUCUGCUAGAAAGCAUGAGAAACAAGGCAGGAUCCGUGGGACGGCUAUUUCUGCUAUCGAUGACGUGCUCUUCUCUAAUGAAACCUGUCGAAAAAGACAAAUGGAUGUGGCGCUAUUGUAAUGAGUGUACAGACUUCCACUUUAAAGUGCUUUUAGACAAACAGUGGGCCGAUAGCACAAGGAAACAAUGCAUUUUUUGGUUGCAUGUCAGUCAUUGUCGUCAUCAAGGCACGCUAGUAACAGUAUUAGUCUAUCAGUUGAAAUUAUUUUGCAAACAUUAGUGUUGUUUUACAGUGCAAUGCCAAAUGCCAACCCAAAUGAGGUAGAGGAAAUAAAACAUGCAAAUUCUCUGCUUUUAGUCAUGCAUAGUUGAUUAUCUUUUAAAUAUAGUUCUGGGGAAUAUGCAAGGAUAGAAAGCUAGUUAGUAGAUCAUUAUGUCUUCCUUGUUGCCUAUCUAUGUAAUGAUCAAGAGAAGAUCCUGGCUUUGAUUUCAAGCACGUUUUCAAAUGAAACUUGAAUGGACUAGCAGAGAGACAGAGAGACAGAGAGACAUAUUUUCAGGAGAUUGCAGUGUAAGUGCCUGCAGCAAGACCUUGCAUUUAUGUGGCACUCUGAAAUGGUGCCUCGCUCUGUGGGUGUGUGCCCAUGGGUGUGUGCCCAUGACAGUUUGUGUGGUUACACCCAUUGUUAAUUUCAGAUCCCAUUAAUUAAGAAAGAACAUAAUGUGAAAUAACCUGAAUCUGAGCUACUGCAGUGUGCCUUAUAGAAAUGUAAUGGCUCAUCUGUCUCUGUGUGAUCUGUUGGACAACAACUCUCCCUGGUGGAGAAAUAAAGCACUGCUGGAGUACAACACAAGGAAAUCCUCCUGUGGUCUCAAAAACAUAACCUUUAGGAUCCAAUUUCAUAUGUCAAAUCCUUUCUAAUACUAGAGUUUAAUUGAGUUUGCCUGGAAUAAUGGUGUCAAUAGACUAAUCCCAAAAGUGCAAACUCCAAACUAUAUCAAGCUCGUUAACGUAUUUGACUGUUGUUUACUAAUAACAGGCCUUGUAUUGUUACUGACUUACAGAGUUUUAGAGGGGUUUCCCUUCACUUAACAUCUGUGGAAAGCUGGAUGUUGAAUGUAAAGAUUUACUGUAACAAUGUGCUCUAAUCUAGAAUCCUAAUGUUCACCCAUCUCAGGAGCACACACUCAGGACUAUCCUGAUCAAAUUAUUUGUGCUCGGCUGUUUGAUUAAAUCCAUGAAAACCAAA
rnacentral:lncRNA from 1 species